rnacentral:rRNA from 1 species
AGUGAACGCUGGCGGUAGGCCUAACACAUGCAAGUCGAACGGCAGCACAGUAAGAGCUUGCUCUUACGGGUGGCGAGUGGCGGACGGGUGAGGAAUACAUCGGAAUCUACUUUUUCGUGGGGGAUAACGUAGGGAAACUUACGCUAAUACCGCAUACGACCUACGGGUGAAAGCAGGGGAUCUUCGGACCUUGCGCGAUUGAAUGAGCCGAUGUCGGAUUAGAUAGUUGGCGGGGUAAAGGCCCACCAAGGCGACGAUCCGUAGCUGGUCUGAGAGGAUGAUCAGCCACACUGGAACUGAGACACGGUCCAGACUCCUACGGGAGGCAGCAGUGGGGAAUAUUGGACAAUGGGCGCAAGCCUGAUCCAGCCAUACCGCGUGGGUGAAGAAGGCCUUCGGGUUGUAAAGCCCUUUUGUUGGGAAAGAAAAGCAGCAGGUUAAUACCCCGCUGUUCUGACGGUACCCAAAGAAUAAGCACCGGCUAACUUCGUG